rnacentral:rRNA from 1 species
AUGGCGGUCUUCGAGCACUUUUACAACUUGGUUGGAGGCAAUUUCUCUGACCUCAACUCCACCAUGAUCGCCUUUCUGCCGAAGAAGGACGGCGCCACGCGCAUGGGUGACUUCCGGCUGAUCCGCCUCAUACAUUCCAUAGCAAAACUAAUUGCCAAGGUUCUAUCCAUGAGGCUAGCAUCAGUCAUCAGCACGCUCAUCUCCCCUGCGCAAACUGCUUUUUAGAGAUCAAAGUGCAUCCAUGAUAGCUUUCUCUACGUGCAAAAUGCCAUCAGAGCUCUACACUGCCGCAAGACGCCCGCACUCCUUCUGAAGUUGGAUAUUGCUGAGGCAUUCGAUAGCGUCUCUUGGAGUAUAUCUUCGAGCUCCUUCAAAAAAUGGGUUUCCCACUGCGCUGGAGGGACUGGGUUGCACUCCUGCUCUCGACAUCUUCAUCGUCCUGCCUUCUGA